rnacentral:rRNA from 1 species
UAGGGAAUCUUCCACAAUGGACGAAAGUCUGAUGGAGCAACGCCGCGUGAGUGAAGAAGGGUUUCGGCUCGUAAAACUCUGUUGUUAAAGAAGAACAUAUCUGAGAGUAACUGUUCAGGUAUUGACGGUAUUUAACCAGAAAGCCACGGCUAACUACGUAGCCAC